UAUAUAAGUUAUCGUUUAUUUGAUAGCACCUUACUACUUGGAUAACCGUGGUAAUUCUAGAGCUAAUACAUGCUAAAAAUCCCGACUUCGGAAGGGAUGUAUUUAUUAGAUUAAAGACCAAUGCCUUUCGGCUUUUUGGUGAUUCAUGAUAACUUCUCGAAUCGCAUGGCCUUGCGCCGGCGAUGGUUCAUUCAAAUUUCUUCCCUAUCAACUUUCGAUGCGAAGGUCUUGUCUUCGCAUGGUUACAACGGGUAACGGAGGGUUAGGGCUCGACCCCGGAGAGGGAGCCUGAGAAAUGGCUACCACUUUUAAGGAAGGCAGCAGGCGCGCAAAUUACCCAAUCCCGACACGGGGAGGUAGUGACAAUAAAUACUGAUACAGGGCUCUUAUGGGUCUUGUAAUCGGAAUGAGUACAAUUUAAAUCCCUUAACGAGGAACAAUUGGAGGGCAAGUCUGGUGCCAGCAGCCGCGGUAAUUCCAGCUCCAAUAGCGUAUAUUAAAGUUGUUGUGGUUAAAAAGCUCGUAGUUGAACCUUGGGCCUGGCUGGCCGGUCCCCCUCACCGGGUGCACUGGUCCGGCCGGGUCUUUCCCUCUAUGGAACCUCAUGCUCUUUACUGAGUGUGACGGGGAAAUAGGACUUUUACUUUGAAAAAAUUAGAGUGCUCCAGGCAGGCCUAUGCUCGAAUAGUACAGCAUGGAAUAAUAGAAUAGGACGUGUGGUUCUAUUUUGUUGGUUUCUAGGACCGCCGUAAUGAUUAAUAGGGACAGUCGGGGGCAUCAGUAUUCAGCUGUCAGAGGUGAAAUUCUUGGAUCUGCUGAAGACUAACUACUGCGAAAGCAUUUGCCAAGGAUGUUUUCAUUGAUAAGGAACGAAAGUUAGGGGAUCGAAGACGAUCAGAUACCGUCGUAGUCUUAACCAUAAACUAUGCCGACUAGGGAUCGGACGAUGUUAUUUUU
rnacentral:rRNA from 1 species